GGAGUUAUGGCUCAGUGGUAGAGCACUUGCCUCACAUGCAUGAGGCACUAGGAUUGAUCCUCAGCACCA
rnacentral:tRNA from 1 species